CCUACGGGUGGCAGCAGUAGGGAAUCUUCCACAAUGGGCGAAAGCCUGAUGGAGCAACGCCGCGUGGGUGAAGAAGGUCUUCGGAUCGUAAAACUCUGUUGUUAGAGAAGAAAGUGCGUGAGAGUAACUGUUCACGUUUCGACGGUAUCUAACCAGAAAGCCACGGCUAACUACGUGCCAGCAGCCGCGGUAAUACGUAGGUGGCAAGCGUUAUCCGGAUUUAUUGGGCGUAAAGGGAACGCAGGCGGUCUUUUACGUCUGAUGUGAAAGCCUUCGGCUUAACCGGAGUAGUGCAUUGGAAACUGGGAGACUUGAGUGCAGAAGAGGAGAGUGGAACUCCAUGUGUAGCGGUGAAAUGCGUAGAUAUAUGGAAGAACACCAGUGGCGAAAGCGGCUCUCUGGUCUGUAACUGACGCUGAGGUUCGAAAGCGUGGGUAGCAAACAGGAUUAGAUACCCCUGUAGUC
rnacentral:rRNA from 1 species